rnacentral:rRNA from 1 species
UACGUAGGGUGCAAGCGUUAAUCGGAAUUACUGGGCGUAAAGCGUGCGCAGGCGGUGAUGUAAGACAGGUGUGAAAUCCCCGGGCUUAACCUGGGAACUGCAUUUGUGACUGCAUCGCUGGAGUGCGGCAGAGGGGGAUGGAAUUCCGCGUGUAGCAGUGAAAUGCGUAGAUAUGCGGAGGAACACCGAUGGCGAAGGCAAUCCCCUGGACCUGUACUGACGCUCAUGCA